AACCUGGUUGAUCCUGCCAGUAGUCAUAUGCUUGUCUCAAAGAUUAAGCCAUGCAUGUCUAAGUAUAAGCGACUAUACUGUGAAACUGCGAAUGGCUCAUUAAAUCAGUUAUGGUUUAUUUGAUGGUACCUACUACUUGGAUAACCGUAGUAAUUCUAGAGCUAAUACAUGCAGGAAGACCCGACUUCGGAAGGGUUGUAUUUAUUAGAUAAGAAACCAAUCCAGCUUGCUGGUUGCGUGCCGAGUCACAAUAACUGCUCGAAUCGCAUGGCUUUACGCCGGCGAUGGUUCAUUCAAAUUUCUGCCCUAUCAGCUUUCGAUGGUAGGAUCGAGGCCUACCAUGGCGUUUACGGGUAACGGAGAAUUAGGGUUCGAUUCCGGAGAGGGAGCCUGAGAGAUGGCUACCACAUCCAAGGAAGGCAGCAGGCGCGUAAAUUGCCCGAAUCCUGACACAGGGAGGUAGUGACAAGAAAUAACAAUACAGGGGUUUAAUACUCUUGUAAUUGGAAUGAGUACAAUUUACAUCUCUUCACGAGGAUCAAUUGGAGGGCAAGUCUGGUGCCAGCAGCCGCGGUAAUUCCAGCUCCAAUAGC
rnacentral:rRNA from 1 species